GAGUUUGAUCAUGGCUCAGAUUGAACGCUGGCGGCAUGCUUUACACAUGCAAGUCGAACGGUAACAGGGAGCUUGCUCCGCUGACGAGUGGCGAACGGGUGAGUAAUGCGUCGGAACGUGCCGAGUAGUGGGGGAUAACACAUUGAAAGGUGUGCUAAUACCGCAUACGUACUGAGGUAGAAAGUGGGGGACCUUCGGGCCUCACGCUAUUCGAGCGGCCGACGUCUGAUUAGCUAGUAGGUGAGGUAAAGGCUCACCUAGGCGACGAUCAGUAGCGGGUCUGAGAGGAUGAUCCGCCACACUGGGACUGAGACACGGCCCAGACUCCUACGGGAGGCAGCAGUGGGGAAUUUUGGACAAUGUGCGCAAGCCUGAUCCAGCCAUGCCG
rnacentral:rRNA from 1 species